rnacentral:lncRNA from 1 species
CCGAAAGAUGGUGUUAUUUGAUAAGAGAUUACAUCAUAAGAAACUCAAAAUCCAAACCAUUUUGACAAAUACAUAACCACUGCAGAUAGAGAGAAUAGAAAGAGAGAGAGAAGAAAAAAAUAGAGCGAGGCUCGUGUGCCAGCGGUGGUACCACAUUAUCCGUUCUCAUGUCAUCGUCAACGCGCAGAUGCAUUGAAUCCUCCUAUCUGUCACAGCCCGCUACCCUUAAUGACGGUUUAGCCGGGAUUAUGACUUGGGAUGAGAAUUAAUGAGUGGGAACGGAAAUGGACAAUUACUUAACAUUAAAGUAUAUGGAAAUAUCACUCAUAGAUAAAAUGCUAGGAUCAUAUAUGAUCAUUUGGAUACUUAUAAAACAUACACAUAAAGGAGAACUGAUUAAGGUGGGUUACCCAAUAUCACGUGUCACAACUUCAUAACAUAGAGUUAUCCUAAUCAAAGUGUUUUGCAGCGGAAAACGUGUGAGAUAUACAUAUGAAGAUGUAUACUCAAGGUUACAUUUCUUGAAAUGAUCAAAGGAACACCCGCUCAACACCAUUCCAUUCCAUCAGCUGCUCAACCUGCACAUAUAGAAAUACAUGCAGGGCUGAGUAUAAAAAUACUCAGUGGGCAUAUGCCGAAAAUACAAUCAUGCAUAACAUAUAUAAAUUGAACUGCCAUAACAGUAACACACAGGGGUUUUCUUGAAAGACAUGCGCUUACUAAAACAUUUCUUUCAUUUUCAUAAGAUUGGCCAGCCGACCCAUUUUCCUUCAUAUGAUCCAUAUCUGUUCCUUUCUGUCACGCGCUGGAAAUGAGGCCUCCUUACCACGGACGCCAAGACCGGUCGCAAGCGACUCGCGGUCUCCAUGAGUGUGCACGUUAACCCUAGCUAGCAACCUUUGUCUAGCAUAGGAUCCCAAUUGGAUUUCCUUUAAAGUUGGCGAACCAACACAGAUAGGAUACAUACGUAAAACAUAAACAUUUUUGGCAGACAAUCAUUUCAUUUCAUAAACAUUUUCAUUUUCAUAAACAUUUCAUUUUCAUUUCACAAGAGUCAUUUAUCAUUUGGGCAUAAUAAUAAACUGAAAUUAACAGUUAAAAUCAUCUCAUGCAUAUAUUCGUAUAAGAGGCCUACGACACGCAGGGGAUCUCUAUAUACGUAUAGUAAAAGUAAUGCCCACCUCAAACGUUCUUAAGCUAGCGUGGAGUCGCUUAUUCUUCGGCUUCACUUCCUGUCGCCCGGACCUUUAUUGAUGAGAGUCGGUAAGUUCGUGAAGAAAAAUUGUCACAAGACAAAGUCUAAUUCUACGUGCUUAGGGUAUCUUUUAGUGUUUUAGGGUUCUAGCAUCCAUAAUUCGUUCCAUUAAAGACAGUCAAAAACCAACAUACCUCGUCUAAUCUCAUUCAAACACAUAGGCAACACAAACACAUAAGGCACAUAAGAAUCACAAUCAAACAUCAUCAAAACAUGCUCUGUUUUUACACAGACUCAACUUCAAAAAUUAAUCUGUUCUGACUCCGAUAUCUCCUGGACUCGAGACUCAUACUGAAAGAAAUAUCUUCGAGUCUAGUUUCAUAUAAAAAAAAGUAGAGUCAAAAACUCCAAGUGGUUUGAGAGAUAUGACGUUUUUACCACGACCUACCAUGUUCGGCAGUUUUGAGCAAUCGAAAGCUUGGAUUUUUGAAAAAUAGUAAACGUUGUCAAACUGGGCUCAACUUUGGUGGAUAUCUAGAUAACACAACAAGGUUAAUACCAUAAAAAUUUGGAAAGAUAGAUCACACAGGAAGCUACUGAAAUGAAUGACUCUUUCCCCUGUUCUCUUAAAUUCUCGGUAGUAAUGUGCAGUUUAGGUUUUGAAUUUUAAAGAAAUAUCAAACGAAGUUGGAAUGGCGUGAAAUUUUACCGGUGUGCUAAAGACUCUCAAAUAUACUUACCAUAAAAUUGUCAUGGUGUUUGGGUAACAAAAACCCCUCGAAAAUAGUAGGUCAGUGUAUCACGAAAAAUGACUCCGAACUCAAUCACACAAGCAAACAUGCUCAACUCAACAUUCCUUCAAAGAAAACUCAUCAAAGCUCAUUUUAAACACUUAUAGCACUCAAAAACAUUUAAGUACAACAUAAUACUCAUCAUACUCAAUUUCGACUCUUCUCUUACAUCUUAAACUCAAUUCUCAUGGAAAACGUUUCAACGAACGCAUCAAUUAAAUUCUCUUUUCAUUUUCAUGCUCAAAAUUACUCAAAUACUCAAACAUGGUCUCAUACAUCAUAUAACUCAUUAUACACAUAUAGAUUCUUUUUUAACAUGCAAACUAAACUCUAACAAAAACUCACGUAUCGACGCAAACUCUUAACAAAAGCAUGACAGACGUUCACAUAAUGAUUAUAAAGUAAUUAGACCUCAUUAUACCAAUCAUCGACCUCUCAAUAUAUGAGAACUCAAAAACUCAUAUAAACUAAACUAAGUCAAAAUUUUACUUAGCCAACAAAAGACUUAAUCAAACAUAAAUAGACACUAAUUUCAUGCUCAAUUACAUAUAUCUUAAGCCAAAUCACUUAAUAGACACAUAGACAAGAAAGUCCUAAUUUUUAUUAAACUAAACUCUUUUGAAAAUAUCACUAAUCAUGUAUAACCUAUUGAUCAAAUCAUAGAUCUAACAUCCUAGGUUACCAAUUAGCACAAAACAACAUCAUAAAACAAGAUCACAUAUAGAUACACAUAUAUGUCAUUUUCUUCCUCAAACUAACACUUUUCAUUUCAUUCAAAAUUCUCAAUUUAAUCAUGCCAUAGUCCUUUAUAAAGUCCAAUUAGCAUAUAGACAUCAUUAAUCCAAACAUUGAUCUCAUAUUCAAAAAUACCCAAAUCCUAGUAAACUAAACUCAAGCAAUUUCACAUAUAAACCAUCAAUUUACAAUUUAGGGCAUAGAUACACAUAUCCCUAAUUUUAUUAAACUAACUCAUAUCAAAAUCAUCAAUUGACAUCAUAUACUCAAUUUACUCCAUCAAUCAUCAUCAUAUACAUCUCAUGGACUCAUCUUCAUCAUCUAUUCAUCAUUUUAAUCAUCAACUCAAAAGUUCUCAAUUUUAGGUAAACUAAACUCCAUCGAACUUUCACAUCUCAAGGCAUAUAUUUCACAACACACAUCAAUCAUCACCAAACAUCACAUAGAUCUCAUUUUUCACCCCAAAUCAAGGAAAGAAAAAGAAAAAUUUUGGAAGGAUUGAAGACCCAAAUUUUCGAAAAUUUUAGAAAAAGGAAGGGGGUGAUUUUCUUGCUUCAAUCUUUCAAGAAUACUCACAUACAACAUCAUUCAAGCUAUAUCUAUGGAUUACAUGAUCACUUACCCAAAUUUACACCAAGUAUCAAACUUUCUCUCUCUAGCUUUGAAGCCAAUCUUCAAGGAUCUCCUUGGAAUCAAGUUGAUAGGAGGUGUUUAGGUAAGAUUUUGAUGGUGAUUUAUGUGUUUGGCAUAAUUUUGUGGAGCUUCGGAGGUCUCAUCUAUGGUUGACAAUGGUGGAAAGUGAGUGAUGAGGGAGAGAUGAGGGGGCCGAUUGGUGAGGGAGUGAGGAGUGAGAGAGGAUUUUGCUAGAUAUUAAAAGAUUUGGAAAAUCUUAGAGGAUAUUAGUGAAUCUUAUCAAAU